AUUGAACGCUGGCGGCAUGCCUUACACAUGCAAGUCGAACGGCAGCACGGACUUCGGUCUGGUGGCGAGUGGCGAACGGGUGAGUAAUACAUCGGAACGUGCCCAGUAAUGGGGGAUAACGCAGCGAAAGUUGUGCUAAUACCGCAUACGCCCUGAGGAGGAAAGUGGGGGAUCGCAAGACCUCAUGUUAUUGGAGCGGCCGAGGGCUGAUUAGCUAGUGGGUGAGGCAAAGGCUCACCAAGGCGACGAUCAGUAGCUGGUCUGAGAGGACUCACAGCAACACUGUGACUGAGAGACGGACCAGAAUCGUACGGGUAGAAGCAGUGGGGAAUGUUGGAGAAUGGGAGAAAGGCUGAUCCAGCAAUGCCGCGUGUGCGAAGAAGGCCUGCGGGUUAUAAAGCACUUUUGUCAGGGAAGAAAACUGUUGGGCUAAUACCCGAAUAGGAUGACGGUACCUGAAGAAUAAGCACCGGCUAACUACGUGCCAGCCGCCGCCGUAA
rnacentral:rRNA from 1 species